UACGUAGGGUGCAAGCGUUGUCCGGAAUUAUUGGGCGUAAAGAGCUCGUAGGCGGUCUGUCGCGUCUGCUGUGAAAACUCGGGGCUUAACCCCGGGCCUGCAGUGGGUACGGGCAGACUAGAGUGCGGUAGGGGAGACUGGAAUUCCAGGUGUAGCGGUGAAAUGCGUAGAUAUCUGGAGGAACACCGGUGGCGAAGGCGGCAUCCUGGACCGAUACUGACGCUGAGGAGCGAAAGCCAGGGGAGCAAACGGG
rnacentral:rRNA from 1 species